AUUUUGGGAGCAGCAGAGGCAAUACCCAAGUGACUCAAGGGACUCAACAAGGGUACAGAUAAAGGGGGUACAACCUGAGGUAUGAAGAUAAUGGAGAAACUAGAAAAAUAGAACAGAGAAGAUAAAAAAAUUGUUUAAAAAACAGUUAUGUCUUGGUUUACUGUAAAGGUAGAAUGGAAGGAAGAAAGAAAAUAUAGCUCCACUAAGUUUUGUUGUUCAAAGCUACCUUUUUUACAUUUUGUUUUGUUUUUUUUAACUAAAC